rnacentral:rRNA from 1 species
UGGCGGCGUGCCUAACACAUGCAAGUCGAGCGCGAAAGGGACCUUCGGGUCCCCUGAAAGCGGCGAACGGGUGAGUAACAAGUGGGCAACCUGCCUCAAGGACUGGGAUAACUCCGGGAAACCGGGGCUAAUACCGGGCGAUGUCGUCUGGCGCAAGCCGGCCGACCAAAUGGUAGCUUCGGCCUCCGCCUUGAGAUGGGCCCGCUUCCUAUCAGCUUGUUGGUGAGGUAACGGCUCACCAAGGCUACGACGGGUAGCUGGUCUGAGAGGAUGAUCAGCCACACUGGGACUGAGAUACGGCCCAGACUCCUACGGGAGGCAGCAGUGGGGAAUUUUGCGCAAUGGGCGAAAGCCUGACGCAGCAACGCCGCGUGAGCGAAGAAGGCCUUCGGGUUGUAAAGCUCUGUCAGGGGGAAAAAAGGCACCUGGGUUAAUAGCCCAAGGGCUGAUGGUACCCCCAAAGGAAGCCACGGCUAACUACGUGCCAGCAGCCGCGGUAAUACGUAGGUGGCGAGCGUUGUCCGGAAUCAUUGGGCGUAAAGAGCGCGUAGGUGGCUUGUCAGGUCUGAUGUGAAAUCCUGGGGCUCAACUCCAGAACUGCAUCGGA